AUUGAACGCUGGCGGAAUGCUUUACGCAUGCAAGUCGAACGGUAGAGGGGGCAACCCCUCGAGAGUGGCGAACGGGUGAGUAAUAUAUCGGAACGUGCCCAGUCGUGGGGGAUAACGUAGCGAGAGUUACGCUAAUACCGCAUACGAUCUAAGGAUGAAAGCGGGGGAUCGCAAGACCUCGCGCGAUUGGAGCGGCCGAUAUCAGAUUAGGUAGUUGGUGGGGUAAAGGCUCACCAAGCCAACGAUCUGUAGCUGGUCUGAGAGGACGACCAGCCACACUGGAACUGAGACACGGUCCAGACUCCUACGGGAGGCAGCAGUGGGGAAUUUUGGACAAUGGACGCAAGUCUGAUCCAGCCAUUCCGCGUGCAGGAUGAAGGCCCUCGGGUUGUAAACUGCUUUUGUACGGAACGAAAAGGUCUCUCUUAAUACGGGGGACUCAUGACGGUACCGUAAGAAUAAGCACCGGCUAACUACGUGCCAGCCGCCGCCGUAAGAC
rnacentral:rRNA from 1 species